UUCUCCAGGCUCUGAAAAUGAAUGUCAGCCAAUAAGAGAUCUUUCUACCGACAGGAUGAUCCUAUGAGCUGUUUAAGCAUUACUAUUGGCUGCUCAAGCUGCUCAUCAAAAGUCAAUGUGUGUUCUUGAUCUGAGAGUAGAGAUAGUCCCAUGGCUUUAUAUUCCAGCAGAAAUCUCUAACGUGACUUUUGUCAAAUCAAGAGGAAAAAUGAAGACUGAGGUGGAGAAGCAACAGAAUAAAGGCACAAACAUGUUCAGGAGGAACAGAGUCACAGAGGUUAGUGUGGACAUUGUGGGGGAGUACAAAUACCUGGGAGUGGUGAUUGACAAUAAACUGGACCGGGGGAGGAACACUGACUCCCUCUACAGGAAGGACCAAAGCCGCCUCUAUUUUCUGAGACGGCUGAGGUCCUUCAACAUCUGCAGGAAAAUGCUGAGGGAAGGGACCCUCCGAAGGCGGGGCUAUAAAUGUCUUGCAAGAAAUGAAGGUUAGCCAUUUUCUUUCGACUCGACCGGAGAUCAUACUGCGUGAUAACAAGAGAAGCCGAAAUAGAUAAUAAACAUGUGAAGCAGCAAUGGUCCGAGGCGGAAACACAGUGCUUUGUGGUGCUGUGGAGUAACGAGGAGGUACAGGAGAAGCUCAACUCUGCCACGCGGAACAAGCCAAUCUUUGAGGGUCUGCAGCGGGAGAUGGCAGCCGCCGGGUACACCCGGACAGUCGACCAACUUUUAAAUAAGUUGAAGAAACUCAAAAAGGACUUCCGUGACCAGAAGCGAGAGCUAGGGCGCAGCGGCAGUGGAAGGGUGGUAAGCCCACAUUUAGAAAUGUUGAACGCUGUGCUUGGGGACCGCCCAGCCAACGUGUCGACCGGGGCAUUGUGCUCGGCUGUGCUCGAGGAAAUGGCAACAGAACCCGGUAAGAGGAAGAGGGACUCGAUUGGGGAAGUCCUCCAAUAUAUGGAGAAGUCUGACGAGGUGUUUCUGUUGGAAGGCAGGGAGGACCAUCAACUCUCAAAGGUGAUUCUGGAGAGCCUAAUGAACAUGGACGCCCAGGGAUCAAACAUGAUCGCUCCUGAUGGAGGAGCAGGGGAAGAAGUAAUGUGCUUUUUCCCCCUGAGAACAUGUACAUACUGUAUAAUAUUGUAAAUAAAAGUUUGUUUGAAGUGAUGUGAGUUUUCUCUCUAAUUUCAAAGGACAUUUUUCAUAUUUAGUUUUACUAGUCUUCUUCUUCACAUGUAGAAAAUGCAGUUACUUACAAGUCAUAUAUGUAGUUUUCAAACCGUUGCUGAAUAUUACCAAUUCUCACAAUAUAAUGUAAAAUAUAGAGACAGUAGUUUAGUAAAUAUUAACUUUAAAUGCACACAUGUCAUUACUACCACUCCUUCCUUGUGAAUGAUAUGGUUUUAUUAAUUUUGCUGUGAUCACAUUGACCCACAUAUGGUAAAUUGUGUCUAGGUCUGCAUCAGCUGGAUUAUGUUUAGAAUUUCUUUUAACCCGACAUUCAAAGUGUUCCGUACUUUACAUUCACAGAUGUAUAUUAUAGUAAUAAUAUAUGUACAUACCGGUCAGUUAAAAAUGUAGUUGUAGCUUACAGUACAAUCACAAAUCUAUGGUAACCAGAUUUUCUUUCUCAGAAAUUAGUUUUAGAUCUUGUUAUACUGUCACAUAUACAACUAAACAAUAUGCACCAGCUCAGAUAUAUUGUCACUAUUGUUUUUUAUAUGUAUAUAAUGUUAUUGCUCUUACUUUUUUAUUCUGUCACUCUUUAAUUCCUGUACUCUAAUCUUUAAGGCCCUGAUGGAAAGCUUAAAUGUUUGUUACAACAUAUAGCAAAUGUAAUGUUAGUGUUGAGGUGUAUUGACUGUUUCACAUGUGUAGGAAAUUAAAUCAUCUAAAUUAAACUUUGGCUGAAAUACUAUACUAGCCUCAGCAUGGGAGACAGAAGGUUGUCUCUCUCUGUGAAGUGUAAAUGUGGACCAAGGGGGGACACUUUCCCCUUCCUGACCAAGCAAAGGAACAGUAGGAUCAAAGAACAGGUUUGUUCCUGUUCUCACCUCUUUGUUACAUUAAACAAUCAAUCAAUGUUUACUUGCUAAGUUUUCAAACUCUGGGCUCCGAAAUCAUGCGGAGCCCAGGGGAUUUUAUCACCCCCAAAGGUCACUCAGGAUGUUGGAAGAAUACCAGCUGUUUGUUUCCCCCUCAAAAUGAGAUCAAAGAAUAUGUAUUUGUUUGAAAAGUCACAAAUGAAGGAUUAUUGGAACGGUUCUUGCAGAAAUCUAGAUUGCAAAUAUUGUCUGUCCAAUGCCACUCUUCAGAUAAUUCAAGAACCAACAGAAUGUUCUCAUUCAUAUAACCCAUUGUCAACUACCUUUAUCCUCCUACAUGUGUUAUUUGUUCUAUGCAAUAUACCUCUUCACUUCAAGCUGAGUAUAAGAUGUCAACAGAUGGCUUUAUACAUAGGGGUUUGUGACCCCCGCCAGUUACCUCUGUAACUCGGCUGUUGGAUGUUGAUUAAUUUGUGAACCCUGAAAGUUUCUUGUUCCCAGGUUGGUACUUCCUCCAUUUGUUGAGGUGUGAAAGUUUGUGGCCUUCUUUCUUUGUUCUAAGGCUAAAGCCUUAGACUCCUCCCGUUGGUCUCAAGUCAUAUAGGCCUUUUUUGGCUAAGAUUCUUCAGAGUAAAUCUGACCUCGGCUGCUCUCACAGGGUUUUUGUCUCUCCCCUGUUCUUUUGAUUCUGCUUGUGUUAAUAAACUUUGUGUUAUUAUGCA
rnacentral:lncRNA from 1 species